GACAGAGGGUGCAAACGUUGUUCGGAAUUACUGGGCGUAAAGCGUGUGUAGGCGGCCAUAUAAGUCGGAUGUGAAAGCCCUGGGCUCAACCCAGGAAGUGCACUCGAUACUGUGUGGCUCGAGUACUGGAGAGGUUGGUGGAAUUCUCGGUGUAGAGGUGAAAUUCGUAGAUAUCGAGAGGAACACCGGUGGCGAAGGCGGCCAACUGGACAGAUACUGACGCUGAGACACGAAAGCGUGGGGAGCAAACAGG
rnacentral:rRNA from 1 species